AACGAACGCUGGCGGCAGGCUUAACACAUGCAAGUCGAACGGUUGUAGCAAUACAGCAGUGGCAGACGGGUGAGUAACACGUGGGAACCUUCCUAGGGGUACGGAACAACUCAGGGAAACUUGAGCUAAUACCGUAUACGUCCGUGAGGAGAAAGAUUUAUCGCCCUUAGACGGGCCCGCGUCGGAUUAGCUAGUUGGUGGGGUAACGGCCUACCAAGGCGACGAUCCGUAGCUGAUCUUAGAGGAUGAUCAGCCACACUGGGACUGAGACACGGCCCAGACUCCUACGGGAGGCAGCAGUGGGGAAUCUUGGACAAUGGGCGCAAGCCUGAUCCAGCCAUGCCGCGUGAGUGAAGAAGGUCUUCGGAUUGUAAAGCUCUUUUACCAGGGACGAUAAUGACGGUGCCUGGAGAAUAAGCCCCGGCAAACUUCGUGCCAGCCGCCGCAGUAACAC
rnacentral:rRNA from 1 species